CAGAGGGAUAGCAGGUAGGGACAGAACGGAGAUGACUUAUCAACAAUAAGGAGUAAUGAUUUUAUUGGGGGGUGCGAGGUGGCAAAUUUUUCUUUAGAUUUCAUUCUUCAACUUACUUUGAGAUGUUUGUUGUUUAUUUCUGCUAGAAUUCUCAUACUUGAAAAAUCAUCCUUGCAUUUUAUGUCUAUAUCCCAGCUCGGCCACUUAGCAGUGUAACAUGCAAAUCACUUAAACUCUCUGUAUCAGUUUACUCACCUGUAAAGGUGCCUAGAACAGUCUGUGGCACACAGUAUGACUCAAUCAUGCCAUUAAUCAUCUACCUGGACUCACAG
rnacentral:lncRNA from 1 species